AACCUUAUGGACCUGCGGGCGUAUACCUGCGGAGGGAUCAUUACAAGUGACCCCGGUCUAACCACCGGGAUGUUCAUAACCCUUUGUUGUCCGACUCUGUUGCCUCCGGGGCGACCCUGCCUUCGGGCGGGGGCUCCGGGUGGACACUUCAAACUCUUGCGUAACUUUGCAGUCUGAGUAAACUUAAUUAAUAAAUUAAAACUUUUAGCAAUGGAUCUCAGAUCGGAAGAGCACAUGUCU
rnacentral:misc_RNA from 1 species